rnacentral:tRNA from 1 species
UCCCUGGAGGACUAGUGGUUAGGCCAUGGUGCUCUCACCGCUGUGGCCCGGGUUUGAUUCCCGGCCGAAGGGAA